UACGUAGGGUGCAGGCGUUAAUCGGAAUUACUGGGCGUAAAGCGUGCGCAGGCGGUCUAUUAAGACAGGUGUGAAAUCCCCGGGCUUAACCUGGGAACUGCGCUUGUUACUGAUAGGCUUGAGUGUGGCAGAGGGGGGUGGAAUUCCACGUGUAGCAGUGAAAUGCGUAGAGAUGUGGAGGAACACCGAUGGCGAAGGCAGCCCCCUGGGCUAACACUGACGCUCAUGCACGAAAGCGUGGGGAGCGAACAGG
rnacentral:rRNA from 1 species